rnacentral:rRNA from 1 species
CGAAAGUUAGAGGUUCGAAGGCGAUCAGAUACCGCCCUAGUUCUAACCAUAAACGAUGCCAACCAGCGAUCCGCCUGAGUUCCUCAAAUGACUCGGCGGGCAGCUUCCGGGAAACCAAAGUGUUUGGGUUCCGGGGGAAGUAUGGUUGCAAAGCUGAAACUUAAAGGAAUUGACGGAAGGGCACCACCAGGAGUGGAGCCUGCGGCUUAAUUUGACUCAACACGGGAAAACUUACCCGGCCCGGACACUGGAAGGAUUGACAGAUUAAGAGCUCUUUCUUGAUUCAGUGGGUGGUGGUGCAUGGCCGUUCUUAGUUGGUGGAGCGAUUUGUCUGGUUAAUUCCGAUAACGAACGAGACUCUAGCCUACUAAAUAGGCGCUCCGAUCCUUUAUGUCGGACGUUCUUCUUAGAGGGACAAGCGGCUUUUAGCCGCACGAGACAGA